UGGGGAAUCUUAGACAAUGGGGGAAACCCUGAUCUAGCCAUGCCGCGUGAGUGAUGAAGGCCCUAGGGUCGUAAAGCUCUUUCGCCAGGGAUGAUAAUGACAGUACCUGGUAAAGAAACCCCGGCUAACUCCGUGCCAGCAGCCGCGGUAAUACGGGGGAUGCAAGCGUUAUCCGGAAUUACUGGGCGUAAAGCGUCUGUAGGUGGCUUGGUUAGUCUAUUGUUAAAUAUUAGGGCUUAACCCUGAGACAGCAUUAGAAACUUCUAAGCUAGAGUAUGGUAUGGGCAAAGGGAAUUCCCAGUGUAGCGGUGAAAUGCGUAGAUAUUGGGAAGAACACCAGUAGCGAAAGCGCUUUGCUUGGCCUCAGCUGACACUGAGAGACGAAAGCUAAGGUAGCGAAUGGGAUUAGAUACCCGCGUAGUCC
rnacentral:rRNA from 1 species